UUUAACAAGAAUUGCAUUGUGGGAAGUUUAGUUUCUCUCUCUUCCCGCUCUCUUUGUUGUACCGCCCAUUGUCUUCUGAGUCCCGAUUGGCUGUAGACCAUUGUCAAUCAAUCUCCUUCAUGCCGCCUUGUUGUGUUUCCGGUGUCAGCUAGCUAGCUUGCGUACUUGCUAGUUUUCCUUCUUUGGAUGUUUGCAAGUUUCUCCCAAACAAAACCCACAAUGUUGACGAAAUGUUCUGUCAAAAGGCAGAGGAGGAUGCUAACCAUCGCACAAAAGGUUGGACUUCUGGACAUGCUGAAAGAAUUUAGAAGUUACGAGGCUCUAUGGCUCUAUCACAGAAUGAAUGAAUUUUCGGUUGGAGGAGUACUACAGCAAUAUGAUUUAACAAUGUUACAAAAACCAUACAAUACAGCGGAACGGCGCCAGGAUGAAAAGCUUUUGGAUGUCCAUGAGUGACAACUUGCAGAUCCUACAAUAACAUCCAUAGAAAUGGAGGUCUCACCUGCCUCAGUUAAGACAUAGGUGUGUUUACUUUCUAACUGCAGGAUGACUGAAGUGUUUGUGCACACCUGACCAUUCCGCACUGCUCACAUGGCCUUUGCCCCGAGGUGAGCGCGGAGCCAGUGGAGAAGGGUGUGGCCACGCAGAGGACGAAGACAUGCUACAUCCAUCAUGAUCAGGCCUCGUGAGGAAUGCCAGCUUCUUCAAACUGGGGCCAACCUUGCUUUUGUGCACCUUUUGACCUGAGGACUGAGGAGUGCCAUCAAGAAUGAGGUGUGACGGCUGCAAGCUGUCAGGCUGCAGAGGCAAGCAAUAUCGCAUCGCCAUAUGUCAAGGAGGCCAAGCCAUCGGUGCAGAGAGUCUGGAAAUCUGUCUUUUGUUUGCCUGGACACGUACAGACGCAGCCUUUUUCUCAACCUAACUUGCCCAUCAGCAGAGAAAUGAGAUGUCGAAGAGGCACUCUCAAGUCUUGACCCCGUGUUUGCUGUGUCCAGUGGGAGGUCAAAGGUUAGAUAGGCAGGUCUUUGCCAACCUGGUAAGUGGGCACUCAUCUUUUGGAUGUCACAUGACAGUGAAAAUCCUUCUUUUUUUCGCUUCACCUCAAGAACCUAAUUCUCUUUUUCACCGCGCUCCCAUCCUCAUUUACAUCAGGUCGUUUGUUAUGACUUUAUGAUUAUAUAUGAGCCUUUGUCUGGCUGUGCAUGUACCUGCACCACUCCCAGCUGGUCCCCAUUAAUAACAGGGCCCCGCUGUAGACAGCGCAAAAGAUACGGAGGAGCUUGUUAGCGUCAUUGGCGAGUACAGGGGCUCAGCAUGUGAGAGUGCAAGGGCCGACAGGACAGCAGGGAGAUGUACAAUACGCACACACACACACAUACACUUCCACACACCUGGAGUAUCCCCGGACAACAAAUUCGAAGUACAUGACACGAUGUCCUGCAUUUGUCCUGGCAAUUGCACAAAACCAUGAUGGCACAUUUGUGAAAAAGCACACGUGUAAAAUGUGUCAUUCUUAUGAUAGCAUAAUGAGGCUAGACUGGACGGAGCACGCCGAUGUACAGACUGGCUCCAUUGUGGGUCCCAAAUGGUGGCAGAAGCCUGUAAAAUCUGCGUCCCCUGAUCUCCGCUCCAGGAGUCGGCUGGGAAUAAAGGCGUGGAAAUAGGAUUUAUUUUGCACGCCUCAUCAAAAGGGAAUUAGCAGGGUUUGGGGAGGGAAAUGCGGGCUCUGUUUUGAGCUACUAUGAAUGGCAGGAUCAUCCCUGUAAUCCCUGGCCUCCCUCCUCUCUGCCUGCACCCCAGAAAAUGAAGACAAUUGCCCACAUUAGCUCUAAAGAUGCCUUUUGUAGCCUCAUCUUCACCCUCAAAACCAAAGAUCCUACAAGGAAAAAUACGAUAGGUAAGGGUUGAACCACCUGCUCCCGUUCUUCUUUUUCUUAUCUUUUAAUUCCUCCUCUUCCUUCAAAACAUGGCCGCGGAGCUGUCAGACUCGCUGAUACGAAGGCUGACAGCAGAGAGCUGGCGCGCCAACACGCCACAAACAACAAGCGAGCAUGUAAACUAAAGCAAACAAAGCCCCUCUUCGUUACUCUAAAGGCAGGAUCCCUCCCACCUGCCAUCCUGACGCUGAUGAAACAUACAGUAACACAGAGCAGCCAUUAAAUGGGGGAACAAG